GUUGUGGCGGGGUAUUAAAUAAAAGUUUUUUUUUUUACAUAAAAAUAUCACUUUUCAGUAUAGCAACUCGUAUGGCUUGUUGCUGGCUCUCUGUCAGUGAUAUGUGUGAGAUGGUGAAGUGAAGGCAAAAGCCAGUGUCGACCUGCCUCAUAUAUCUUACCGAGAUAGGUUUUAAUGCAAUCAUCGAAAGGCAAGAUUCUGGAUGAGUUGCUGUGUAAAUAUGAUGGUUUUAUGGUAAUCUACAGACAAACAUAAAUCGACAAUAAUCUGUUAUGCAC